GAUGAACGCUGGCGGCGUGCUUAACACAUGCAAGUCGAACGAGAAGUGGAGACGGAAACCUUCGGGCGGAAGACUUUACUUCGAGUGGCGGACGGGUGAGUAACGCGUGGGUAACCUGCCUCAUACAGGGGGAUAACAGUUGGAAACGACUGUUAAUACCGCAUAAGACCACAGCACCGCAUGGUGCGGGGGUAAAAACUCCGGUGGUAUGAGAUGGACCCGCGUUCGAUUAGCCAGUUGGCGGGGUAACGGCCCACCAAAGCGACGAUCGAUAGCCGAUCUGAGAGGAUGACCGGCCACAUUGGGACUGAGACACGGCCCAAACUCCUACGGGAGGCAGCAGUGGGGAAUAUUGCACAAUGGGGGAAGCCCUGAUGCAGCGACGCCGCGUGAGUGAAGAAGUAUUUCGGUAUGUAAAGCUCUAUCAGCAGGGAAGAAAAUGACAGUACCUGAGUAAGAAGCCCCGGCUAACUACGUG
rnacentral:rRNA from 1 species